rnacentral:rRNA from 1 species
ACUCAAAUGAAUUGACGGGGGCCCGCACAAGCAGUGGAUCAUGUGGUUUAAUUCGACGAUACCCGAAAAACCUUACCAAAACUUGACAUCUACAGAAUCUUACGGAAGCGUAGGAGUGCCCGCAAGGGAGCUGUAAGACAGGUGGUGCAUGGUUGUCGUCAGCUCGUGUCGUGAGAUGUUAGGUUAAGUCCUGCAACGAGCGCAACCCUCAUAUUGUGUUGCUACAUUUAGUUGAGCACUCUCAAUAGACUGCCCGUGGCAAACGGGAGGAAGGUGGGGAUGACGUCAAAUCAUCAUGCCCUUUAUGUUUUGGGCUACACACAUGAUACAAUGGUCGGUACAAAGGGAUGCGAAGCCGCAAGGUGAAGCAAAUCUCAAAAAGCCGGCCUCAGUUCAGAUCGUAGGCUGCAACUCGCCUGCGUGAAGUUGGAAUUGCUAGUAAACGCAGAUCAGCAUGCUGCGUUGAAUACGUUCCCGGGCCUUGUACACACCGCCCGU